CAGCACAACAGAAGGUUACAUGAGCAUCACCACAGAAUAAAGAACUCUCUAAAGCUCUUCUAAUGAAACGAGUGGACUUGUGACAACUGUCUGGUAUGGGGAAAACAAGCUUGGUUGCCUUUAAAAACAGUUUGACCCAGUAUUUCUGCACCAUGCUGGAAUCUAUUUGCAGACACCAGAAUCCUAGCAAUCCAUGCCAUGUGGAUGACGCACAUGUAUGCAGCACCGAUCCCGGGACCAGAGACGUGGGCCAUGCAUCCCAAAGGUCCUGGUGGACAGAGUCAACCGGUAAACAGUUUCCCCAGUCGUCUCCAGGCAGACAGCACGGGCAGACCCCCCCCAGCUGUGGCUUCCAGACUGCCGCCGUUGCCAAAAACAACGCCUUGGGUUCCAAGCAGGGUUCAAAAAGGCGCUUUUGAUAGCGGAUGAAAAAUGCUGUGAUUUAAUCAGAGACCCCUUCCUGACAUGGAAAAAUGUUUUUGCUGUGCUGGGAGCACUAAAGUAUAUAGUUAAUCUCCAUGAUUCAGACAUCAGAUGGCCAUAUAAAGGCAGGGUGCGCGUGUGACGCAGGCUGUGUGGAUAUGAUUGGAUGUGGUAUUGACAUUGGGUUGUAAGUGAAGUGCAUUAGUUAGUGCCGUGGCGAGGUGACAGCACAUUAACUGCACCAGUACUGAUCCAAAUCCCCCAGAGUCACUCUCACUCCUCUACAAGUACUAUCAAGCAUUAUCAAGCAUUAACAAGCAUUCAGAACGAUAUGUUCAAUAACUGCUGUUCAAAAACAUUGGUAACAACAAUAAUCUGUAUGAGAAUCUGUAUGAAUAUGAAUAUUUAUCAAUAUGAUAUUAUUUAACACCUCACUAAUAUGGUAUCAACUGUAGAGAUAUGCAUCUGGAACUGAAUUGUUGAAGUAAAGAUUAACUCAUUGUCAUGGUCAUUUGAUUCUGCAAUGCAAACAGCUAAC
ensembl:lncRNA